rnacentral:rRNA from 1 species
GACGUAGGAUGCAAGCGUUGUCCGGAUUUAUUGGGCGUAAAGAGUUCGUAGGCGGUUUAUUAAGUCUGGUGUUAAAAAUCGGGGCUCAACCUCGGGAGUGCAUUGGAUACUAGUAGACUAGAGUGCAGUAGGGGCAAGUGGAAUUUUCAGUGUAGCGGUGAAAUGCGUAGAUAUUGGAAAGAACACCAGUGGCGUAAGCGGCUUGCUAGACUGUAACUGACGCUGAGGAACGAAAGCCAGGGGAGCAAAUGGG